rnacentral:rRNA from 1 species
AAGAGCCCGGAGAUGGAUUCUGAGACACGAAUCCAGGCCCUACGGGGUGCAGCAGGCGCGAAAACUUUACAAUGCGGGAAACCGUGAUAAGGGAAUCUCGAGUGCCAGNNAUAUAAUGUUGGCUGUCCAGAUGCCUAAAAAGCAUCUGUUAGCAAGGGCCGGGCAAGACCGGUGCCAGCCGCCGCGGUAACACCGGCGGCCCGAGUGGUAACCGCUUUUAUUGGGUCUAAAGUGUCUGUAGCCGGCCAGGUAAGUCCCUUGGGAAAUCUGGCAGCUCAACUGUCAGGCUGCUAGGGGAUACUGUUUGGCUUGGGACCGGGAGAGGUGAGAGGUACCUUGGGGGUAGGGGUGAAAUCUUGUGAUCCUCGGGGGACCACCAGUGGCGAAGGCGUCUCACCAGAACGGGUCCGACGGUAAGGGACGAAAGCUAGGGGCACGAACCGGAUUAGAUACCCGGGUAGUCC